UACAGAGGUCUCAAGCGUUGUUCGGAUUCAUUGGGCGUAAAGGGUGCGUAGGUGGUCGGGCAAGUCAAAUGUGAAAUCCCGGAGCUCAACUCCGGAACUGCAUUCGAUACUGCUUGACUAGAGGAUUGGAGAGGAGACUGGAAUUCACGGUGUAGCAGUGAAAUGCGUAGAUAUCGUGAGGAACACCCGUGGCGAAGGCGGGUCUCUGGACAACUCCUGACACUGAGGCACGAAGGCCAGGGGAGCAAACGGG
rnacentral:rRNA from 1 species